rnacentral:rRNA from 1 species
UACGUAGGGUGCAAGCGUUGUCCGGAAUUAUUGGGCGUAAAGAGCUCGUAGGCGGCCGGCCAAGUCGGGGGUGAAAGCCUGUGGCUCAACCACAGAAUGGCCCUCGAUACUGGGCGGCUCGAGACCGGAAGAGGAGUGUGGAAUUCCUGGUGUAGCGGUGAAAUGCGCAGAUAUCAGGAGGAACACCAAUGGCGAAGGCAGCACUCUGGGACGGUACUGACGCUGAGACGCGAAAGCGUGGGGAGCGAACAGG